rnacentral:rRNA from 1 species
AAUACGGGACGCAGCAGUGAGGAAUAUUGGUCAAUGGGCUUACGCCUGAACCAGCCAAGUCGCGUGAGGGAAGACUGCCCUAUGGGUUGUAAACCUCUUUUGUCAUUGAGCAAUUGGCGCUACGUGUAGCGUUAUCGAGAGUACCUGAAGAAAAAGCAUCGGCUAACUCCGUGCCAGCAGCCGCGGUAAUACGGAGGAUGCGAGCGUUAUCCGUAUUUAUUGGGUUUAAAGGGUGCUUAGUCGUGAUGCCAAGUCAGCGGUAAAAUCGCGGGGCUCAACCUCGCUCCGCCGUUGAACCUGGCGUU